rnacentral:rRNA from 1 species
GAUGAACGCUGGCGGCGUGCCUAAUACAUGCAAGUCGAGCGAACAGACGAGGAGCUUGCUCCUCUGACGAUAGCGGCGGACGGGUGAGUAACACGUGUAUAACCUACCUAUAAGACUGGUAUAACUUCGGGAAACCGGAGCUAAUCCCGUAUAAUAUAUUGAACCGCAGGGUUCAAUAGUGAGAGACGGUUUUUCUGGCACUACUAGAUGGAUCCGCGCCGCAUUAGCGGGUUGGUAAGGUACGGCUUACCAAGGCAACGAGGCGUAGCCGACGUGAUAGGGGGAUCGGCCACACUGGAACUGAGACGGGGUCCAGACUCCUGCGGGAGGCAGCAGUCGGCAAUCUGCCGCAAUAGGCGAGAGCAUGACGGAGCAGCGCCGCGUGAGUGAUGAAGGUGUUCCGAUCGUAAAACUCUGUUAUUAGGGAUGAACAGAUGUGUAAGUAGCUAUGCACGUCUUGACGGUACCUAAUCAGAAAGCCACGGCUAACUACGUG